CAAAUGCAUGAUGACCGAUAAAGUUAUAACACUGCACUAAAUGACUAACGGGUAUGGGGCAGCGCAAUCGAUACGCUUUGUAUUUGAGCCUAGCGUGACGUGUCAGUGAGGUAACGAAGCUUCGUUUUCAAAGAUCACGUGACAGCCUCAUUUCGAGCAAUGCUUCGGAACACUGUUUCGGAACACUAGUGUGUUGAAAACUCGAAACGUGUGUCGACACUAGGUGUCGAGCUACCCAUCCCUAGCCAUCAAAGUAUGUUGAAUGAUGUUGGUAUGGUUUGUAGUGAACUGAAGCUCAUGUUAGCGUAUUUCCCUAUAGAACGACACUUUGACGGAAAUCCCGUGGCUGGUAUUUGGCUGAGGUUGCUCCUCUGCAGGAGCUGAGUGCCUAAGGCAGUGGCGGAUUUCUGGUGUUGGUGCUUCUUUCACGAGUGCUGGCUGGAGUGGUUGUGUUUGUGUGUGUGUGUGUGUGUGUGUGUAUGUGUGUCACAAGUUUAAGUGAGGGGUGUUUUGCUGUGGAGGCCGAUUGCGCCCUUAUGCCCUGCUGUCAAGCCUCGGUUCCUGUACUGGAGCUCUUGGAUGUCCUUGAUGACCCAGGUUGCCCACUAUUGUAUUUGUGAAGUGCGAUCUCUGUGAUUUUUGACCUCUGCGAUUGUCUCUCCUCUUUUCUCAUUUUUGUAAUAAUUCCCUUUUUUAUUGUAAUAAACUUGAUCUUUUGUA